GAUGAAGAACGUAGCGAAAUGCGAUAAGUAAUGUGAAUUGCAGAAUUCAGUGAACCAUCGAAUCUUUGAACGCACAUUGCGCCCGGCAGUAAUCUGCCGGGCAUGCCUGUCCGAGCGUCAUUUCUCCCCUCGAGCGCAGCUUUCCCCCCCGGGGGAGGGCCGCGCCCGGUGUUGGGGCGCUACGGAGGAGCCCAGCGCUCCCCCGUAGGCCCCGAAAUGUAGUGGCGGUCCCGCCGCGGCGCCCCCUGCGUAGUAGUUUUACAACUCGCAUCGGGUCCCGGCGGAGGCCAGCCGUCAAACCCCCCAACUUCAAUAGUUUGACCUCGGAUCAGGUAGGGUUACCCGCUGAACUUAAGCAUAUCAAUAAGCGGAAGA
rnacentral:misc_RNA from 1 species